UCAGACGAUGCGUCAUGCAUAUCAAUAAGCGGAGGAAAAGAAACUAACAAGGAUUCCCCUAGUAACGGCGAGUGAAGCGGGAAGAGCUCAAAUUUGAAAUCUUAAAGGGUUUCCCUUUACGAAUUGUAGUUUAAAGAAGUGGUUUUCUGUUGAGGUUUUGGUAAGAGUUCUUUGGAAUAGGACAUCAUAGAGGGUGAGAAUCCCGUAUUUGACCUUUACUUUCAACUUUGUGAUACACUUUCAAAGAGUCGGAUUGUUUGGGAAUGCAGUCCAAAAUGGGUGGUAAAUUUCAUCUAAAGCUAAAUAUUGGCGAGAGACCGAUAGCGAACAAGUACCGUGAGGGAAAGAUGAAAAGAACUUUGAAAAGAGAGUUAAACAGUACGUGAAAUUGUCAAAAGGGAAGCGUUUGACACCAGUGUUGUUUUUCUGAAAAUCAAUUAAAGAACUGUUUAUGCUAAGCUGUUUAGACUUUAUCAGCUAUCUGUUUAGUUUUGAGCUUUUCUUUAAUGCACUUUUCAGUUAACAAGUCAACAUCAAUUUCUUUUGCUGUAAAAAAGCUUGAGGAAGGUGGCUUGAGAUUCGUCUUAAGUGUUUAUAGCCUCUUGCCUAUGCAGUCGGAGAGAUUGAGGUCUGCAGCGUAGAUCCUUCGGGGCUAAAUGCAUUUGUGCUAAGUUAUAGCAUUUUAUAGACAACUUGUUGACUAUGAUUUGUCUUGUAGCUUACUCGCUUAUGUUAUUUUACCUACGCUUAGGAUGUUGAAUCUGUGCGAGACUAC
rnacentral:rRNA from 1 species